rnacentral:rRNA from 1 species
GAUGAACGCUGGCGGCGUGCCUAAUACAUGCAAGUCGAGCGAACAGACGAGAGUGCUUGCACUCUCUGACGUUAGCGGCGGACGGGUGAGUAACACGUGGGUAACCUACCUAUAAGACUGGGAUAACUUCGGGAAACCGGAGCUAAUACCGGAUAAUAUUUAGCUUCGCAUGAAGCAAUAGUGAAAGACGGUUCUGCUGUCACUUAUAGAUGGACCCGCGGUGUAUUAGCUAGUUGGUGAGGUAACGGCUCACCAAGGCAACGAUACAUAGCCGACCUGAGAGGGUGAUCGGCCACACUGGGACUGAGACACGGACCAGACUCCUACGGGAGGCAGCAGUAGGGAAUCUUCCGCAAUGGACGAAAGUCUGACGGAGCAAUGCCGCGUGAGUGAAGAAGGUUUUCGGAUCGUAAAACUCUGUUGUAAGGGAAGAACAAGUACGUGAGUAACUGAACGUACCUUGACGGUACCUGACCAGAAAGCCACGGCUAACUACGUG